UACCAGCUCUCCGAGUGGUAGGGAUGAUUAUUGGGCUUAAAGCGUCCGUAGCCGGCUUAGCAAGUCUCCUGUUAAAUUCAGCGACCUAAUCGUUGAGCCGCGGGAGAUACUACUAGGCUAGGAGGCGGGAGAGGUCGACGGUACUUCCGGGGUAGGGGUGAAAUCCUAUAAUCCCGGGAGGACCACCAGUGGCGAAGGCUGUCGACUAGAACGCGCUCGACGGUGAGGGACGAAAGCUGGGGGAGCGAACCGGAUUAGAUACCCGGGUAGUCCCAGCUGUAAACGAUGCGGGCUAGGUGUUGGGAUGGCUACGUGCCAUUUCAGUGCCGCAGGGAAGCCAUUAAGCCCGCCGCCUGGGGAGUACGGCCGCAAGGCUGAAACUUAAGGGAAUUGGCGGGGGAGCACCACAAGGCGUGAAGCUUGCGGUUC
rnacentral:rRNA from 1 species